GGAAGCGUGGCAGAGCGGUUGAAUGCACCGGUCUUGAAAACCGACGAGGGUUUACGCCCUCCGUGAGUUCGAAUCUCACCGCUUCCG
rnacentral:tRNA from 1 species